GUUCAAUAGCCACAACAACCAUUUAGAAUUGUUGCUGCCUACUCCAUGCCCGCCUUUUCUUGUCUGCCAAUAGUUGGAGAAGUAGAGAAGUCAAGCACUCAGGCCUUGUUAAACCAUUUAUUUUACUGUGUAAUGUAUCUUCUUAUCUUCUUUCUUCAUAUUGUAUAAAAGCUAAUUCUUGUUAAGCUUUUGUUCAAACUUGAUUAUAAUAAAUUUUCUUAUUCACUGCUAUCUAUUCAUCGUACCUUCCUUCCCUCAAGCAAAAAUAUAAUUUUCUCAUGCUAUGUUAUUUCAAAUUAAGAAAAAAUAUUUAUCUUGACGUACUAGUACCUUAGUUUUAUGAGAAAUGUUGUAUCCUGUAUCAGUAUCCGUAUCGGGUACUGUACCCGUACCUAUGCAACGUAGCUAGUGAGGCAAAAUCAGCAGAGCAAAUCCUUCAAUAUGAAGAAAUUUCAGCCUCAAUGUGGAAUAUAGGUGGUCAAGGCCUUUAGAUACAUCCAAUGUCUGAAAUUUUUCAUAUUUUCAAAUGUAAAAAUUCAUUAAUAUUAUUCAUUGUAAUCGGUCAGGGGUUCAAACUUAACUCCAACAGAAACUGGUCAAUGAUUUAAAGGAUCAAGUGAUGUAUAUUCAAAUAGAAUUGCAGUUGCUACGAAGUUGUUGUUAACUGUAUCAAUCAAAAGCCUUGUGCUGCCAUCAAAAUUGAAAACACAAACUUAACACACAUGCUGACCUAAACAAUGAUUUUUCAUUACUAUUACUAAUUAGAGAGAAUAUAAAGCUUCUUGCUGGCAAUCAUCUUCUCCAGUGACAUCAACCACUGAUCUGCUCUUUCUUGCUAAAUGUUGGACCUGCUCAACCCACGACUGUCUUCUCUGCUUCACUAUCUUUCCCUGUAAAUAAAGAAAAAGUUACCAUUUUCGCUUUCAACUAACAAACACCGGCAGCAUCAACUAACGGAAAUAACUGAUCCAUAACAGAUUCUUAAUACUCCCAAAUUGAUCGAGAUAUAGCUCGAAAAUUUGCUUAUAAGGGGAAGACAUUCAUCACUUUAUAACCUGAAUUUCUAGGAUUGAGUCAAGUCCAACCCAAUUUUUCAGAUGAUAUUAGAGUUUGUCCAAGAUCUGUUGGGAGCUCCUGCUACAGACACUCAGGUCAAUUUCAGAUGUCUAACCUUGAACUCAAAUUCUAACACCAAUCAUCCAGUUACAUCUUGUUCAGUGUUGCUAAAAUCAUAUAACCAAACGAAAAAAUGAGAAUUUAGGACUAACUUUGAAAGGAAAAUGACAGAAGAAUAUAUUUACCUUCAAGAAUGUCGAUAACUUCAUUCCCCCUCUCCUCUUGGUUCUCCAAUGAAAACAUGUUUAAUGUGGGAAAUCAUGGGCCAAGACUCACCAAAUUGUGGCCGAUAUUUUCGAUAUAGUUCAGGACAACCAUAUAUGCGCAAAUCAUUGAGGGUAGUGAGACGAUGCAUGCCACUUGGAAGACUCAACACUUGAGGGCAGUCAAUAAUAUAGAGCCUCUUAAGAUGAGACAUUGUUGUUAAACAUUCUGAAAACAUCUCAAGAUUCAGAAAAUUAUUAAUUUCCAAGGUCUCUAAAGUGGCUGAAGCACCUACAAUCCAUUCAGGAAGUGACAGAAGCUCUGGAAAAUCCCCAAUAUACAGAUGUUUCAUCCUCAAUCUUCGGAUUGGACUUUCGUUGUUCAAAUACAAGUUUAACAUCUUACAGUCAAAAAUUAUUAAAGUCUGUAAUUUAGGGAAAAUAUAAAGAGGUAAAGACUCCAAACUUCCACAUGAUUUAACAUACAAUGUCUCAAGGGAAGGGAGUUGUUGUUCCCCGCUGAAGAAAAGCUUCAAAUUGUCGCAAUAAUGAAAACCCAACUUUCGAAGAUGCUUCAAGCUUGUAAGUUUAUCCAGCGACAGAACUGAUUGUUUUGUGGUUAUCCACAACUCUCGAAGGCUGAUCAGCUUGCCUAACCCUUUAGGCAGUGUUUCAAGCUCCAUGCAUCCAUUGAGUAACAAAACUUGCAAAUUUAGGAGUUUGCAAAUGGAAUUGGGAAGUUUUUUUUGUUUUUGCAGUUAUUAGAAAGAACGAGAACACAUAGGGAAGUGUUUUUUCCAAGUGAAAUUCUAAUAGGGGCUCUGUUAUUUUGAGUUGAUUAAAAUAUGUAACAUGCUGAAUAGCUCUUGCUCUUAAGAUUGUUAUCAACUUUACAGCUUGUGACAUUUACUUCAAAUAUUGAAGGUACUAUUUGAAAGAAGUAUGCUAUUUAAUAUGAAAUGAAUUGCAUAAGUAGGCGAGCAAAGAAAAUAAACUCGAGAGUUCAAUGUAGAGGAAUUGAGGGAAAGUUGUUGAUUUUAUUUUAUUUUUUGAAAAAGUUACAAAAUGUUUAUUACUAUCACCCCUGCAAAUGUUUCAUGAUGAUUUUAUUUUCUAAAUAAAUUUUCAACAUCUAAUUAGUAGUGAAAUGGUCUAUGGUUAAUCAAUGCUCGAUACUUUAAUGAUGCAUUUAGAUUCAUCUUCUUUGAUUUUCUUUCUCGUGUUCAUCCUGAAUCACGGACUUUUCUGCUUAAACAUUUGAUCUUUGAUUAUUAAUAUGAUUUCUGAUGGAUGUCACAUUGGUAUUUAUAUAUGCACACUCAAUUGUGAGCUUGUUUAAAUUGAAUGGGUGGGCGUGUGCAAGCUCUACUGGGUGUUCCCAAGUCUUAUAAUACUAAUUAUUAUGGCGUGCCAGAAGAUGGACCGUCUCAGCCUUCUAUUUCUCAUGACCUGUCUUGUUUGCCCAACGAUGGUUCUGUUAACAAUACCAAUACAAAAUAGAAAAAGACAUAGUAAAGUUUAUCCAUUACGGGAACAAUGUGGAGAAAUUUCCCCUCUCGGUUGAAGUCGACAAUGUAGCAGAACUUGUUAAUAUUGAUGAUGAUAAAGAGGACACGCAAGACAAAAUUGGAUUCAACCACGAGGGGACAGAUGCUAAUGGGAACAGUGUGGAGCAAUUUCCCCUCUCGGUGGAAGUCGACAAUGUAGCAGAACUUGUUAAUAUUGAUGAUGAUGAAGAGGACACACGACAAAAUUGGAUUCAACCACGAGGGGACAGAUGCUUAUGGGAACAAUGUGGAGCAAUUUCCACUUAAAGUGGAUGUCGACAGUGUGGCAGAACUUGUUAAUAUUGAUGAAGAUGAUGAAGAGGACACACUAGACGAAAUUGGAUUCAACCACGAGGGGACAGAUGCUAAUGAAAAUGUCCGUGAACCACAAGCUGAUCCAGAGAAGCAAACAAAAUCCUCAAAUACGAUAGUUGAUGCAGUCUCCUUGAUUGAUUUGUUCACACGUGACCAAACAACAGAACAUAUUAGUAGUCUGAGAAAGGAAUCUGCUCAGUUUACUUCUGAGGAUGAAGCAGGAAUUGAUGCAAACACAGGCCAAUUAUGUGAAAGGAAAAAACUUUACUUUGCAUCAGUCCCACUUUUUUGCUUAUAUUGUGACAUAAGCAUCAAGAGAACAUAUUUCUGCAGAAAAGUAGAAUUUAAUGCAGAGGGUUGCAUUUGCUGAGUGUGUUAUAAGACUUCUAAAAUCACUUUCAAUGGAACACCUAUUUCUACGAAGAAUCUUGAUAAAAAAAAAAAAAGGAAUAACGAUGAAAUACAUUUUGAGAGUCUCAUGCAAGAGAGAGAAAACUGAGAAAAAGUCGAAGCGAAUGAGAAUCUUGACGAGGUUUUAGCAGCAGAAAAUCUUUAUGUUAGAGAAGUUGUAUUUGUUGACAAGCAAUUGAAAGUGAUUAAGAAGUUUCUGGACAUCAUCCCUCAGGAGAAUUACCCUGCUGAAUUCUCUUAUAGAGCAAGAGUUAUUCUUCUGUUUCAGCAUAUUGAAGGAGCAGAUAUAUGCAUUUUUGGAAUGUACGUCCAGGAAUUUGGCUCUGAAUGCGGCAACCCCAAUCAGCGUUGUGUCUACAUUUCAUAUCUUGAUUCCUUCAAGUAUUUUAGACCUGAAAGAAGGACAAAGAGUGGAUAAGCCCUUCGAAGUUUGUGCCUUCAUUUACCAUGAGAUAUUGAUUGGAUACCUUGAUUUUUAUAAGAAAAGGGGUUUCUCAACUUGCUACAUGUGGGCAUUUUCUCCUUCAAAAAAAAGAGCAUGAUUAUAUACUAUAUUGCCAUUCUGAUGAGCAAGACUCCGAAGAAUGGCUACCGAAGAAGAUAUUGUCGUUGGUUUAACCAACAUAUAUGAUCAUUUAUUUGUUCGCACUGUGGUUUAGCCAACAUAUAUGAUCAUUUCUUUUUUCGUACUGAAAAAGGGAACUCCAAGGUGACAGCUUCUCGUUUGUCAUACUUUGAUGGAGACUGCUGGUGCAGUAAUGCUAUGGAAGUAGCCGAGACCUUUGGAAAGGAGAGUGGAGGAGACUAUGAAAAAAGGGUGGUGCAUACAUGUAAUGAGUCUUAGAGUUAGAAGGGGCAUUAUGGGAAAUAGGAAUAUGGACCCUUAUAAAUAUGAGAAAAAGCCAAGGAAAUAAGCAUGAAAUAUGUGAUUUUACACACUGGGAGUUUGAUUCAUUGUUCACAUUAAAUGCAAUAGCAACAAUUGUCUUCAUUAUAAUUUGAUCCAUUACAAUACACUUUGUCAGGCCAUUGUUGAUGAUAUCCCCUCCGACUCUAAACAUAAUGAUAUCGUCCUUGAGAGUGGAUUGUUUGAAAAUAGGGACAACUUUUUGAGCUUCUACCAGAAGACUCUCAGUUUCAGUUUGACACACUCUGUCCUGCCAAGUAUUCCUCCAAUAUGAUCCUCUACCAUCUACAUAGUCCUACUGUGAUGACUCAAAAUUGUUAAACACCGGUAUGUCAAUCAGAGAAUUGGGAGUCUAAUGAGGAAAUGAUGGUGAAACUGCUGAACGUUUUGAAGCAUGCAUCUCAAUGCCGCACAGCUAAUUCUGAACCAUGCUCUCAUCCAGUAAGUAUGAAAUUUGAGUGAAUCGGGGCUGCCAGCAUUGUAUGAAGAUAUCGUUUAUACAAACUGCUCACUCCAGGAAUUGCAAAGACUCGGAACGUAGAAUACCACGCUGCAGUGAUCUGAAGAAGCAUGUAGAACAAAGAUCAAUGCAUUCUGAGUCUUGCCGUAGAGCAGUCGUUGGCCAAUAAAUCAACUUGUUUUUCCAUUGCUUCUGCUGUUCUACGUCAAUUUAAAUGCUUAAAGUGGCACAUUGCAAUCAUGAACAAUUAGGCCCCUAACACUGUCAUUUUUUUUUAGUAAUUUGUCAAAAACACAAGAGGAGCUCGAUGGUAAUCACUCUAUGUGUUGCCAUGGUAAUCACUGUCAUUUAAUUGAUAAAAAUUUCUCAAUUUCCUAAUUUUUUAUAAAAAAAAUAAUAAUAAUCGCUAUAUACGUUCCAAAACUUGUAGACAUAGCUAGUUUGAAUCAAUCAAUAUUCAACUUUUUAUUUUACUA